rnacentral:misc_RNA from 1 species
AAAAAAUAAGAAUAACAAGCUGACUCUAGUCUAUACCAUGUUAGACGUGUCCCCUUCAACAAUGUCUGUAAAGAACCAUUGAAAUUGUCAUGCCAGAACACCUUCAAUGGAUGAAGUUGUUCAAUAAAAUAAAACCUCAUCCGCUCCAAUUAUGCUUGAAUAAGAUACCGCAAUUGGCAGAGAGCAAUCCCCUGACUCAAACUAUAUUCAGAAGCUAUGCCAGUAGUGGUUCGUCUUGCAAUACCUUGAGCUGCCUCUUUGCAUAUACUGUAAAAAUUAUAGUGGUGGCCACUGUUACACAGAAACCAAUGACAUUGAAAACAAUUUGUGGAGCUGAAAGUGAGUGCUGAUCAUUUGAAGCAUCUGCCAAGGCCUGUAUAAGGAUGCCAGUGUAGAUUGCAACAAAAAUCUCUGGCACCAUUCCUACCAAUGAUCCUAAGAUGUAAGGACCAUACUUAACAUUUGAGGCAACAGCACAAUAAUUAUAUAAAAUAUAUGGAAAUGGAGAAAUCCUGAUUAAUGUUACUGCUCGAAACUGAUGAAACCAGUUUCCUUCACCAGCUGCUCUCAAAACGGCAGCUUUCUUUGGAUAUUUUUUCAACC